UAGGGAAUCUUCGGCAAUGGACGAAAGUCUGACCGAGCAACGCCGCGUGAGUGAAGAAGGUUUUCGGAUCGUAAAACUCUGUUGGUAGAGAAGAACGUUGGUGAGAGUGUAAAGCUCAUCAAGUGACGGUAACUACCCAGAAAGGGACGGCUAACUACGUGCC
rnacentral:rRNA from 1 species